GGAAUUUUAUUUUUUUUGUACUUCUGCAUGGUUUCCCCUUGACCCGAAUGGUACUUGUUGCAUUUGGCAGGAUGAGUUAAGGGAUGCUGUACUGCUUGUUUUUUCAAACAAGCAAGAUCUUCCAAAUGCAAUGAAUGCUGCUGAAAUAACUGAUAAGCUUGGCCUUCACUCUCUCCGUCAACGCCACUGGUAAGAUAAGUGAAAGCCCAAACCCCCUUAUCUUCUUACCACCUACGCUCCUCUUAUGCAUCC
rnacentral:misc_RNA from 1 species